AUUGAACGCUGGCGGCAUGCCUUACACAUGCAAGUCGAACGGUAACGGGCCUUCGGGUGCCGACGAGUGGCGAACGGGCGAGUAAUACAUCGGAACGUGCCCGAUCGUGGGGGAUAACGAGGCGAAAGCUUUGCUAAUACCGCAUACGAUCUACGGAUGAAAGCAGGGGACCGCAAGGCCUUGCGCGGACGGAGCGGCCGAUGGCAGACUAGGCAGUUGGUGGGAUAAAAGCUUACCAAGCCGACGAUCUGUAGCUGGUCUGAGAGGAUGAUCAGCCACACUGGGACUGAGACACGGCCCAGACUCCUACGGGAGGCAGCAGUGGGGAAUUUUGGACAAUGGGCGCAAGCCUGAUCCAGCCAUGCCGCGUGCAGGAUGAAGGCCUUCGGGUUGUAAACUGCUUUUGUACGGAACGAAAAGCCUUCUUUUAAUACAGGAGGGUCAUGACGGUACCGUAAGAAUAAGCACCGGCUAACUACGUG
rnacentral:rRNA from 1 species